AGCAGCAGCCGCGGGAAUACGGAGGGUGCAAGCGUUAAUCGGAAUUACUGGGCGUAAAGCGCACGCAGGCGGUCUGACAAGUCAGAUGUGAAAUCCCCGGGCUUAACCUGGGAACUGCAUUUGAAACUGUCAGGCUGGAGUCUUGUAGAGGGGGGUAGAAUUCCAGGUGUAGCGGUGAAAUGCGUAGAGAUCUGGAGGAAUACCGGUGGCGAAGGCGGCCCCCUGGACAAAGACUGACGCUCAGGUGCGAAAGCGUGGGGAGCAAACAGGAUUAGAUACCCGCGUAGUCCCUGUCUCUUAUAC
rnacentral:rRNA from 1 species